rnacentral:rRNA from 1 species
CGACACUAACAAUCCUUCGGGUGCGUUAAUGGGCGUCGAGCGGCGGACGGGUGAGUAAUGCCUAGGAAAUUGCCUUGAUGUGGGGGAUAACCAUUGGAAACGAUGGCUAAUACCGCAUAAUGCCUACGGGCCAAAGAGGGGGACCUUCGGGCCUCUCGCGUCAAGAUAUGCCUAGGUGGGAUUAGCUAGUUGGUGAGGUAAUGGCUCACCAAGGCGACGAUCCCUAGCUGGUCUGAGAGGAUGAUCAGCCACACUGGAACUGAGACACGGUCCAGACUCCUACGGGAGGCAGCAGUGGGGAAUAUUGCACAAUGGGCGAAAGCCUGAUGCAGCCAUGCCGCGUGUAUGAAGAAGGCCUUCGGGUUGUAAAGUACUUUCAGUUGUGAGGAAGGGGGURRYGUUAAUAGCRMYAUCCCUUGACGUUAGCAACAGAAGAAGCACCGGCUAACUCCGUGCCAGCAGCCGCGGUAAUACGGAGGGUGCGAGCGUUAAUCGGAAUUACUGGGCGUAAAGCGCAUGCAGGUGGUUCAUUAAGUCAGAUGUGAAAGCCCGGGGCUCAACCUCGGAACUGCAUUUGAAACUGGUGAACUAGAGUACUGUAGAGGGGGGUAGAAUUUCAGGUGUAGCGGUGAAAUGCGUAGAGAUCUGAAGGAA